GAUGAACGCUGGCGGCGUGCCUAAUACAUGCAAGUCGAGCGAACGGACCAGAAGCUUGCUUUUCUGAUGUUAGCGGCGGACGGGUGAGUCACACGUGUAUAACCUACCUAUAAGACUGGGAUAAUUUCGGGAAACCGGAUCUAAUACCGGAUGAUAUUUUGAACCGCAUUGUGCAAAAGUUAAAUACGGUCUUGCUGUCACUUAUAGAUUGAUCCGCGCUGGAUUAGCUAGUUGGUAAGGUAACGGCUUACCAAGGCAAGGAUGCAUAGCCGACCUAAGAGGGUGGUCGGCCAGCCGGGAAGUGAGAAUGGGCCAAGACUCCUGCGGUAGGCAGCAGUCGGGAAUCUUACGCAAUGGGCGAGAGCCUGACAGAGCAAAGCCGCGGGAGUGAUGAAGGUGUACGGAUCGUAAAGCUCUGUUGUUAGGGGAGAACAUAUGUGUAAGUAACUGUGCAGAUAUUGACGGUACCUAGUGAGAAAGCACCGGCUAACUACGUG
rnacentral:rRNA from 1 species